rnacentral:lncRNA from 1 species
GUACAAUAGAGCUUAUAGGCUAAUGAGAAGACAGGAAGAAACAACAGGAACACAUAUAGCUGGAAUGCAGAUGGGAUCUGUGCUACUUACGCUAGCCAUGGGAUGAUUAGAACAAGAUAAGAGACAUGAGGAAGACUUCUUCAAGGAGGUGCUCAAGCCAUGUUUUGGAAAAGAGAACUCAAGACUGCCUGGCAGCUCUUUAGAAAGUUGUGUGACGUAUGAACCAGUUCUUCCCUAUAUGAGAGUGUACCGUACAUCGCAGGCUGUCCAGCAUCGACCCCACUGAUGGAUGCUAGUAGUCCUCCCCGCCAGCACUCAACAUUGUGACAGUCAAAAACAUCCUCUCUACAUUUUCAAUGCCCCUGUUGGGGUAGCAGGACUCCCACUGAGAGACCCCAGUAGAGAUGGUCCCCAAGCAUGCUAACCAUGAAGCAGUGAUAUCGCACAGCACCUGCUUCCAGCAGCCCGGAGCCAAGGGGCAAAAUGGAAAGAGUCAGCAUUUCUCUUUUAGGUUCUCUGCCUCUCUAGUGUGGCAAGUAGAGCUGCAGCUGUCUGGCGCCACUGUAAUGCUGUCUCCUCCUCUGAGUGAGUUCAUCCUGGAAACAUUUUCUCCCAUAAGACAUGCACAGGUCUUACGUUUACAUGUUUCACUGAAAGAAAUUUGAUUCCACUGCUGGGAUGACAAGGAAGACUGAAGAAACCUAAUCCUAGGUGCUGCCACUGGGACAAACAAGAAGCACCAGACACAGUGCUGUUUUAGGGUGGGGCAGAAUUAUGCUGAGGGAAAAGUUAUUAUCACUCUUUAAGGCCAAGGAAACCACAAUUUUUAAAGAAGCUUCUAGAAAUUCUACCCAGUAGAAAAUAAAGAUAAACUUCUGUAA